UGGACGAAAGUCUGAUGGAGCAAUGCCGCGUGAGUGAAGAAGGUUUUGCGGAUCGUAAAGCUCUGUAUGUAAGAGGAAGAACAGAGAUACAGGAGUAACUGCCUGUACCUUGACGGUACCUUACCAGAAAGCCACGGCUAACUACGUGCCAGCAGCCGCGGUAAUACGUAGGUGGCAAGCGUUGUCCGGAAUUGAUGUGGGCGUAAAGCGCGCGCAGGCGAGUCCUUUAAGUCUGAUGUGAAAGCCCACGGCUCAACCGUGGAGGGUCAUUGGAAACAUGGAGGACUUGAGUACAGAAGAGGAAAGCGGAAUUCCACGUGUAGCGGUGAAAUGCGUAGAGAUGUGGAGGAACACCAGUGGCGAANNGCGGCUUUCUGGUCUGUAACUGACGCUGAGGCGCGAAAGCGUGGGGAGCAAACAGGAUNAGAUACCCUGGUAGUCCACGCCGUAAACGAUGAGUGCUAAGUGUNANGGGGUNUCCGCCCCUUAGUGCUGCAGCUAACGCAUGAAGCACUCCGCCUGGGGAGUACGGCCGCAANGCUGAAACUCAAAGGAAUUGACGGGGACCCGCACAAGCGGUGGAGCAUGUGGUNUAAUACGAAGC
rnacentral:rRNA from 1 species